GACGUAGGGCGCGAGCGUUGUCCGGAUUUAUUGGGCGUAAGGAGCUCGUAGGCGGCUUGUCGCGUCGUCCGUGAAAACCUGGGGCUUAACUCCGGGCCUGCAGCCGAUACGGGCAAGCUAGAGUUCGGUAGGGGAGACUGGAAUUCCUGGUGUAGCGGUGAAAUGCGCAGAUAUCAGGAGGAACACCGGUGGCGAAGGCGGAUCUCUGGGCCGAUACUGACGCUGAGGAGCGAAAGCGUGGGGAGCGAACAGG
rnacentral:rRNA from 1 species